AGAGUUUGAUCCUGGCUCAGGACGAAUGCUGGCGGUGUGCUUCACACAUGCAAGUCGAACGGGGUAGCAAUACCUAGUGGCGGACGGGUGAGUAACACGUAGGAAUCUGCCUUUAGGCGGGGGAUAACAAUCCGAAAGGAUUGCUAAUACCCCAUAUGCAUAAGCCUCGACAGGGGUUUAUAUGAAAGGAACAAUCCACCUGAAGAUGAGCCUGCGUCCGAUUAGCUAGUUGGUAGGGUAAAAGCCUACCAAGGCGACGAUCGGUAGCUGGUCUGAGAGGAUGAUCAGCCACAAUGGAACUGAGACACGGUCCAUACUCCUACGGGAGGCAGCAGUGGGGAAUUUUACGCAAUGGGCGAAAGCCUGACGUAGCGACACCGCGUGAGCGACGAAGCCCUUUGGGGUGUAAAGCUCUGUCGGCUGGAACGAAAAAAAUGACGGUACCAGCAAAGGAAGCAUCGGCUAACUACGUGCCAGCAGCCGCGGUAAGACGUAGGAUGCAAGCAUUGUCCGGAUUUAUUGGGCGUAAAGAGUUCGUAGGUGGUUUGUUAAGUCUGAUGUUAAAGACCGGAGCUCAACUUCGGAACUGCAUUGGAUACUGGCAGACUAGAGUAUGGUAGAGGCAAGCGGAAUUCCCAGUGUAGCGGUGAAAUGCGUAGA
rnacentral:rRNA from 1 species